rnacentral:rRNA from 1 species
UACGUAGGGUGCGGAGCGUUAAUCGGAAUUACUGGGCGUAAAGCGUGCGCAGGCGGUUCGUUGUGUCUGGCUGUGAAAUCCCCGGGCUCAACCUGGGAAUGGCAGUGGAAACUGGCGAGCUUGGAGUGUGGCAGAGGGGGGUGGAAUUCCGCGUGUAGCAGUGAAAUGCGUAGAGAUGCGGAGGAACACCGAUGGCGAAGGCCAACCCCCUGGGCUGACACUGACGCUCAGGCACGGAAAGCGUGGGGAGCAAACAGG